UACGUAGGGUGCAAGCGUUGUCCGGAUUCACUGGGUUUAAAGGGUGCGCAGGCGGCGGCGUAAGUCCGGGAUGAAAUGUGGGGGCUCAACCCCUACGCUGUCCCGGAUACUGCGGCGCUGGAGUCACAAUGAGGUAGCUGGAAUGGACGGUGUAGCGGUGAAAUGCGUAGAGAUCGUCCGGAACGCCAAUUGCGAAGGCAAGCUGCUGAUUGUGUACUGACGCUCAGGCACGAAAGCGUGGGUAACGAACAGG
rnacentral:rRNA from 1 species